rnacentral:rRNA from 1 species
UACGUAGGGUGCGAGCGUUAAUCGGAAUUACUGGGCGUAAAGCGUGCGCAGGCGGUUCGUUAUGUCCGAUGUGAAAGCCCCGAGCUCAACUUGGGAAUGGCAUUGGAAACUGGCGGGCUGGAGUGUGGCAGAGGGGGGUGGAAUUCCACGUGUAGCAGUGAAAUGCGUAGAGAUGUGGAGGAACACCGAUGGCGAAGGCAGCCCCCUGGGCCAACACUGACGCUCAGGCACGAAAGCGUGGGGAGCAAACGGG